ACCCAAAGGGUUGAGUUCAGUUCAGGGUUUCCUCCCUGUUCUGGUAAUUAAACUUUGGGACAGCAAAUAGUUGGGAGAUGUUGGGGUAGGAAGUUUCAUUUUUCUGCCAGGCGCCUCUCUCAGCCCACAAUA